UACGUAGGGGGCUAGCGUUGUCCGGAAUCAUUGGGCGUAAAGCGCGUGUAGGCGGUUCGGUAAGUCCGCUGUGAAAGUCGGGGGCUCAACCCUCGGAUGCCGGUGGAUACUGUCGGACUAGAGUACGGAAGAGGCGAGUGGAAUUCCUGGUGUAGCGGUGAAAUGCGCAGAUAUCAGGAGGAACACCGGCGGCGAAGGCGGCACUCUGGGCCGGUACUGACGCUGAGGAGCGAAAGCGUGGGUAGCAAACAGG
rnacentral:rRNA from 1 species